rnacentral:lncRNA from 1 species
CUGAGAAAAACAAUUGGGUGACAAUGAUGGUUAUUAUGAUGGUAAUGUUGGUAGUAACCAUUCAUGUAUGAACUGCUGUAUGCCAGCCUCCAAGUCAGUGCUGUAUACCGACUUACGCAUUUCACCCUUUUGAGGUCAUCCUCAUGCUCAGUUCAUGGAUGAAGAGACUGAACAUGAGGGAGCUUCCCUGGGGCCAUCGGUAGAGCUGAGAGUCCAACAGUGUGGCCCAGGAAUUUUCCAUUUGAUAUUUUCGGUUCACGGUGACUGGAGGAAGUUGAAACCUCAGAAAACUAAACCAUGA